rnacentral:rRNA from 1 species
GAGUUUGAUCCUGGCUCAGGAUGAACGCUGGCGGCGUGCUUAACACAUGCAAGUCGAACGGGAAACAUUUCAUUGAGGCUUCGGCGGAUUUGAUCUGUUUCUAGUGGCGGACGGGUGAGUAACGCGUGGGUAACCUGCCUUAUACUGGGGGAUAACAGCCAGAAAUGACUGCUAAUACCGCAUAAGCGCACAGAGCUGCAUGGCUCAGUGUGAAAAACUCCGGUGGUAUAAGAUGGACCCGCGUUGGAUUAGCUAGUUGGUGGGGUAACGGCCCACCAAGGCGACGAUCCAUAGCCGGCCUGAGAGGGUGAACGGCCACAUUGGGACUGAGACACGGCCCAGACUCCUACGGGAGGCAGCAGUGGGGAAUAUUGCACAAUGGGGGAAACCCUGAUGCAGCGACGCCGCGUGGAGGAAGAAGGUCUUCGGAUUGUAAACUCCUGUUGUUGAGGAAGAUAAUGACGGUACUCAACAAGGAAGUGACGGCUAACUACGUGCCAGCAGCCGCGGUAAUUC